CCUCUUUGAAGACUGCAACCUUGACGUGGUAAAGGGGCUUAAAUCUGUUUCAACGCAGAUGCCUAAUAGCAGU
rnacentral:ribozyme from 1 species